rnacentral:rRNA from 1 species
UACAGAGGUCUCAAGCGUUGUUCGGAUUCAUUGGGCGUAAAGGGUGCGUAGGCGGCGCGGUAAGUCGGGUGUGAAAUCUUGGAGCUUAACUCCGAAACUGCAUUCGAUACUGCCGUGCUUGAGGACUGGAGAGGAGACUGGAAUUUACGGUGUAGCGGUGAAAUGCGUAGAUAUCGUAAGGAAGACCAGUGGCGAAGGCGGGUUGCUGGGCUGACACUGACGCUGAGGCGCGAAAGCCAGGGGAGCAAACGGG